GCAGCCAUGUCUGCAAUGCCAAGUCAUUCGUUCGUUUUUCUCGGGAGUCUUCCUUGCUGUGCUGUGCUUUGAACGCUUAACUCUAAACUGCUUUCGAACACUUCGCAGGACUCCAAGGGAUGUUUGCCGAUGUGAAUAGAUAGCCGGCUGACCGCUGCCCAAAGCGACUGCCACGAAGGCAGCGAUUGUGCUGCAGACAGACGAGUAUUAGCCUUUUUCAUGUUGUGUUUUUUUCAUGUUGUUUUGAGGCAGUUCAGUCGUAUCCCGGCCUUGGACCUGUUUCUUGUUUAGAACAUGCCAAUUUAUUUGUGGCAGUUAUUUUCUUGAUGAGAAACUAUGCUUCGACUAGACAGUUAUACCCUUUUUAACCACCAGAAGGCAGCACAAAUUCACAAAUAUGAGAAGAAUUUUAGACUUGCCUUUCUGGUGGAAAAAGCUUGCUGAUGAACACUUCCGGGCAGGGAGCCAACAUAAGAUGGCAAUCAAAAAGACUCAAGUGAGAAAAAGGCAGGCCCACAGACUGCUGUGAAUUACACCAAAAGAUCACUGGCCUUUUUAAAGAGUGAACUGCUAAAGAAGCAGAUGUCAGUACAGUGGCAAUUCCUCUAGGCUGAUAAAAAAAAAAAAACAUUUUCAGGAUUUGUGUUGUAUAUUUAUCUAGUUAUAAACAUAUUGUCAUUGUCAAUUUGUAUUUGGCCAUAUUCUGUAC